AAGGCUGUUGUCUGUUGUCAUCAGGACCAGGUGGCUGAUUUAGGUUCCAAGCAGAAUUGAAUUGGGUGCCUUGGAAGCCUGAGGCAGAUUUGGUACUAUGGAGGGUGCACUUGCUGAUAUGAAGUUUUAUUUUAUACAAAUCCUGGAGAAGCUAAGUGAGGCCAUGUCAAUGUUGCCAGAAGACAUGAGAAUCAUGCCAGAUCUCUGUGGCUUAACAUGGAACAUAGUGUUCUGGAGGCUGGGAAGUUCAAGGUACCAGCAAAUUUCAUUACCUGUUGCCCCAUGAUGGCACACAGCUUUACUCAGCAAACCCUGCCAGCUUCCAAGCCCUAGGAUACUGACCUGCAUCAGCACAUGGGGCAGCAUUACCUCCCCAACAGUGUGGAGAAGAGAACAUUUCACCACUGGGUGAUGAGAGAGUAGACAGUGACUCUUGGCUUCUCAAUGCUAGACAUGAUUGG
rnacentral:antisense_RNA from 1 species